rnacentral:lncRNA from 1 species
UAUCACUCCAAAUCCUAUGCUUUUAAAUUCUCAGCACUGAAGCCGAAGUGGUCAUUUAAAAAUCAGGCCUGAAAUCCUUCACUUCCCUGCUCACAACAUUUCAAUGGCUCCUCCUUGCCUCGGGGAUUGGGUCUAAUCUCUUUGCCUUCCUGUGGCAUGGCCCUACUUGCUUGUAAACUCAUCUCUUACAGCCUUGCUCUCCCCUACUUCUGCUCUAGCCAUUUCACUCCAUGCUGUUCUCCACACAUGCUAUAUCCUCUCACCUCUGCUUCCUUGAAAAUGAUAUUCCCUUUCCCUGGAUAAAAAGCUACCAAAAAUUCAAAAAUGGUCUAUGAAUUAGUAUGUUAUGCAGCACAACAGCAUCUAUACACAUUUGAAAAAGUAUUCACAUAUAGUCCUCCUAUGGAAAAAUGAACAGUGCUCCAGGCAACCAAAGUAAAUAUAGACUAAAUGGGAUUACAUCAAGCUAAAAAGCUUCACAGAGCGAAGGAAGCAGUCAGCAAAGUGAAGAGACAACCCACAGAAUGGGAGAAAAUAUUUGCAAAUUACCAAUCUGACAAAAGAUUAAUAACCAGCAUAUAUAAGGAGCUCAAACUACUGAAUAGCAAAAGAACAAUCGGAUUAAAAAAUGGGCAAAAUAUCUGAAUAGGCAUUUCUCAAAAGAUGACAAAUCCAACAGGUAUAUGAAAAAAUGAUCAACAUCACUAAUCAUCAGAGUAAUGCAAAUCAAAACCACAAUGAAAUAGCAUUUCACCCCAGUUAAUGUGGCUUUUAUCAAAAAGACAGGCAAUAAUGAAUGCUGGCAAAGAUGUAGAGAAAGAAGAACUACGCUGCUGGUGGGAAUGUAAAUUAGUACAACCACUGUGGAGAACAGUUUGGAGGUUCCUCAAAAGACUGAAAAUAGAACUACCAUAUGAUCCAGCAAUUCCACCACUGGGUAGAUCCUGAAAAGGAAGGAAAUCAAUAUAUCAAAGAGACAUCUGCACUCCCAUGUUUAUUGCAGCCGUAUUCACAACAGCCAAAACAUGGAAUCAACCUAAGUGCCUAUCGACAGAUGAC